CAAUGGGGGGAACCCUGACCGAGCAACGCCGCGUGAGUGAAGAAGGUUUUCGGAUCGUAAAGCUCUGUUGUUAAGGAAGAACGAGUGUGAGAAUGGAAAGUUCAUACUGUGACGGUACUUAACCAGAAAGGGACGGCUAACUACGUGCCAGCAGCCGCGGUAAUACGUAGGUCCCGAGCGUUGUCCGGAUUUAUUGGGCGUAAAGCGAGCGCAGGCGGUUAGAUAAGUCUGAAGUUAAAGGCAGUGGCUCAACCAUUGUAGGCUUUGGAAACUGUUUAACUUGAGUGCAGAAGGGGAGAGUGGAAUUCCAUGUGUAGCGGUGAAAUGCGUAGAUAUAUGGAGGAACACCGGUGGCGAAAGCGGCUCUCUGGUCUGUAACUGACGCUGAGGCUCGAAAGCGUGGGGAGCGAACAGGAUUAGAUACCCUGGUAGUCCACGCCGUAAACGAUGAGUGCUAGGUGUUAGGUCCUUUCCGGGACUUAGUGCCGCAGCUAACGCAUUAAGCACUCCGCCUGGGGAGUACGACCGCAAGGUGAAACUCAAAGGAAUUGACGGC
rnacentral:rRNA from 1 species